UUUGUUUGUUUGUUUGUUUGUUUGUUUUUUUUUUUUUUUUUUUUUUUGGGGGGUUAUUUUUUUUUAAUUUCCUUAUUACAAAAAUUCUAAAAAAAGUGAUAUAAUUCAUUAAAACAGUCACACACCUGUUUUAUAUAUAUGUGUAUAUAUAUAUGUAUAUAUAUAUACUUGCAUAACCUUUAAUGAAUAAGAAAAAUGACAAAACUUAUUUUGUUGUUGUUCUUCUUUACAUAUUAUUUUAAUACAGCCUUGGAUGCAAGUCUAAUGAAACAAGCAGAAAUAAAUUAUAAUGACAAUUUUAGAAAGAGCAGGAUUAACAAAAGCGUUGAGUGCUAUCUAAAGAAAAUACGUUUUUUUACAUUAUGCAACAUGUUCGCAUUUUAUAGUAAUACGCUCGAUUAUUACAACAAAACUGUUGAUAUAAGAAGUUGGUUUGUAAAAACCCAGCAGAAUUAUAAAACUAGACAUUGUGAAAAUUUUUUGAACUUGGAUGGGAAAGAAUCAAAAAUAACUGAUUUUUUAUUGAAUCAUAGUGUUAAUCUAAAAAACAUAACUUCAAAGAGUAUGUUUACAAAAAUAUACUUUUUUUUAUGUAAAGGUUUUUUGGAUUUAGUAAAAAAGUUUAAUGUUAUAAAUUAUUUAAAAAUAAUUAAGUUCUCAAAAAAAAAAAUAAAAAGAUGUCUUAAAGAAAUUCAGGAAAUAGAUUUAUUGUCGAAAUAUGGAAGUGAGACAAGCGGAAACAUAUAUAAAGAAGUUAAAAUGGAAUAUAAUCAAACCAAGUCAGUAGAAUCUAGUAGUAAAACAAAAAACAAUAAAAGUAGUACACAUGAAUAUGAAAACAGUUUUAUAUAUAAAAAAAAAAAUACAUUAAACAAAAAAAUAAAAUAUAAUAAAAAACAUAACGCAGGUAUGUUAAAUUUGCGUUUUUUAGACAACAUGAGAGAAUUUAUAAGGUUCGGUGAAGAUAUAAACGGUGAACGAGAACGAGAACGAGCACAAACACUAGAACAUAUGAUUGAGCGUGAGCGUGAGCGUGAACGAAAACAAAAAGGAGAAGAAAAAAAUGAAAAUAAAAAUCUUGAUACCGAAAAAAAACAAAAGACACGUAACCCUUACAGCAUAAAAAGUCUUAUUACGGCAUAUCAACCCGCUGGUCCAAUAGUUAUUGACCCUGAUCAAAUAUUUAUGACCGGUACUGAACAAAGAAAAAAAAUAAAAGUUAAAGGUUUACAUUUGUUUAGGAUAACAAAUACUAACGCUAAAAUAUAUAAAGGUUUAAAAAAUUGUGAUGGACAUGUUGUGCUAGAGAUAGGUUUUGCAAGAAAAUUUAGUGAAUACAUUGAGACAAACUUUAUAUUUAUUAAUAAAGAAGGUGUAUAUACAAUGUGCAUAUUGUAUGAAAAUACUAUUAGGCAAAUGGGAACAAUAUACGUGCAAAAGGGUUAUAAUGAAAAUCUGAAUGAUUUUUUAGGUACUAAUAACCAAGCAUUUUUUAACUGUGACAUUAAUUUUGGAUCUGUACUUAUGCACUAUAAUAAAUCACUUAUACAAAUUUCACUACUUGAGCAUCGCAAUGAGAUAAUUUUCGAUAAUUUUGAUAUAAGUUAUGCAAAAGCUUUAUUAAACGAAACAAAUAAGUAUUUAGCAUGUGCAACAUAUGAAAACUAUAUGGUACUAUUAACAUCAAAGUAUGUAUUAGUUUUAAAAGAAAGUGAACAAAAAUCUAGGACAAAGGAGGUAAUCGUCCAUAAUUUACCUAGCCCAAUAGCAAUAGCAAUUGAUAAUAGUAAUAUAUACAUUACAGAUUCUAUUUUUAAAAAUGUUUUUAAAUAUACAUCAAUGUACUUAGAAGAGGAACCUAGUAUAAAAGAAAAAUCUAAUAAUAAUUAUUCAUAUUAUAAUAAUGGUAAAUAUUUUUUAAGAAAAAACGAUUAUUUACCUAACAAUAUAAAAGCAUAUGAAAAAAAAAAAAGAUUUAUAAAUGUAUAUGGUCUAAUUGAUAAUACUAUUACUUUAGGUAAUCCAGCUGGAUUAGUUGUUGUAAAAAAUUUAUUAUAUUUUGUUGAUUCUGCGUUACAUAUGUUAUUUUGUUUUGAUUUAACAAAAAAAAAAAUAAUACAAUCAUAUGGUUUUUUUAACACACCAAUUGAGAAUUUAGAUGGUUUAAAUAGACCUUAUGUUUUAAGUUUGUAUAAACACCAAAUUCUUCACAAAAAUCUUUUAAUUCUUGGUGAAAUGAAUGGUUCAAGAAUUUUAAUUUUUGAAUUAGACCCAGAAAUUUCUCUAUAUUCAUAUCAUAAUCCUAUUGAUCAAGAUAUAAUUACUGAUAUUGUUACUAUAAAAAACUAUAUAGUUAUUUUUGGAUUUAAAAUUGUAAAUUCAAAAUGUACUAACUAUGUAUCAUAUAUAAAAAUAGACAGAUUCUCUAAAAUCGAAGUCAUAUAUGAAAAAUUACCUAACGACUUUUAUAUGAAUGAAGAUAUAUCGAUCAGUCCACGUGUUAACAAUGUUAAGGAUAUUACAUUUUUUAUGACAACAUCACUCGAAUCAGAUAUACAAGACAAGGCUGUUGUGGUUGCAAGUGGCUUAGAAAUUGAUCGACAUACCGGUACAAUAUAUGGAAAAAUACAAAUAAAUGACAAUUUUAUUAUUUCUAUUUUGGCAAAUGAUUAUUUUAACACAACUAAAAUUAUCAUACCAACAAUAAAACCAUAUUGUCCUAUAGGUCAAUAUAAAGAUGGUAGUGUAUGUACCCCUUGUAAAAUAGGAACUUAUUCUAUUGGAAAAAAUAUAUGUGAACAAUGUAAAAACAAAAAAAAACAUUCCACAACCUCUCAUACCGGAAUGUUAAAACAACAUGAUUGCGUAUGUAAAAUUGGGUAUUAUUUAGAGAAUGACAAUUGUGUAAAAUGUCAACCUGGUUAUUUUAAAGAUCUCGUUGGUGAUUUUAAAUGUACAAACACAUGUGAAAACUUAAAAACCAGUUUAGUUAGUGGAGCAAGUAGUUAUGAUGAAUUAAAAUGCCAUUGUAAAAAUGGAUUUGUAGAAGAUAUACAUGGACAAUGUGUUCCAUGUCCUUUAAACCAUUAUUGUUUCGGUGUAUUAAGCAUGGCAAUGGAAUAUAAACAUGUUAAAAAACGUUGUAAAAAAAAUACCGUUACGUUACAAACAAAAAGUACAUCAGAAAAGGAUUGUGUAUGUAAAAAAACAUAUUUUUACGAUUCUAUUACACAAAAAUGUAAACUAUGCGAUUUUCAUCAGUAUAAACCAUUACCUGGGAACGAACCUUGUACUGAUUUUAUAAAAGCUACAGAAUAUGUAGAUAUAUACGUAAAUAGUGAAAUAUAUGUAAAAAAAAAUAAAAAUCUACUACUUAUUAAUACAACUGAUGUUUUAUUUUCUAAACUAAAAGGAUCUAAAAGUUUUGAAAAUGCAAAUUCAUGUGAAAGUGGUUUUUAUUUUAAUGAAGCAACUUCUAUUUGUACUAUUUGUAGGUAUGAUC
rnacentral:lncRNA from 1 species